GCGGGAGUAAUUCAGCGGUAGAAUGUCAGCUUCCCAAGCUGAACGUCGCGGGUUCGAGUCCCGUCUCCCGCUCCA
rnacentral:tRNA from 1 species